rnacentral:rRNA from 1 species
AGUGAACGCUGGCGGCGUGCUUAACACAUGCAAGUCGAACGAGAACGGGUUAUAACUUGUUAUAACUGUCAGCUAAGUGGCGCACGGGUGAGUAAUGUAUAGGUAAUAUGCCUCUUACUAAGGGAUAACAAAUGGAAACGUUUGCUAAUACCUUAUACUCCUUAUUAACAGAAGUUAAUAAGGGAAAGAUUUAUUGGUAAGAGAUUAGCCUGUAUUGUAUCAGUUAGUUGGUGGGGUAAUGGCUUACCAAGACUAUGACACAUAACUGGUUUGAGAGGAUGAUCAGUCACACUGGAACUGAGACACGGUCCAGACUCCUACGGGAGGCAGCAGUGGGGAAUAUUGCACAAUGGACGAAAGUCUGAUGCAGCAACGCCGCGUGGAGGAUGACACAUUUCGGUGCGUAAACUCCUUUUAUAUGAGAAGAUAAUGACGGUAUUAUAUGAAUAAGCACCGGCUAACUCCGUGACAGCAGCCGCAGUAA